rnacentral:rRNA from 1 species
GUUUGAUCCUGGCUCAGGACGAACGCUGGCGGCGUGCUUAACACAUGCAAGUCGAACGGAAAGGCCCUGCUUUUGUGGGGUGCUCGAGUGGCGAACGGGUGAGUAACACGUGAGUAACCUGCCCUUGACUUUGGGAUAACUUCAGGAAACUGGGGCUAAUACCGGAUAGGAGCUCCUGCUGCAUGGUGGGGGUUGGAAAGUUUCGGCGGUUGGGGAUGGACUCGCGGCUUAUCAGCUUGUUGGUGGGGUAGUGGCUUACCAAGGCUUUGACGGGUAGCCGGCCUGAGAGGGUGACCGGCCACAUUGGGACUGAGAUACGGCCCAGACUCCUACGGGAGGCAGCAGUGGGGAAUAUUGCACAAUGGGCGGAAGCCUGAUGCAGCAACGCCGCGUGCGGGAUGACGGCCUUCGGGUUGUAAACCGCUUUCGCCUGUGACGAAGCGUGAGUGACGGUAAUGGGUAAAGAAGCACCGGCUAACUACGUGCCAGCAGCCGCGGUGAUACGUAGGGUGCGAGCGUUGUCCGGAUUUAUUGGGCGUAAAGGGCUCGUAGGUGGUUGAUCGCGUCGGAAGUGUAAUCUUGGGGCUUAACCCUGAGCGUGCUUUCGAUACGGGUUGACUUGAGGAAGGUAGGGGAGAAUGGAAUUCCUGGUGGAGCGGUGGAAUGCGCAGAUAUCAGGAGGAACACCAGUGGCGAAGGCGGUUCUCUGGGCCUUUCCUGACGCUGAGGAGCGAAAGCGUGGGGAGCGAACAGGCUUAGAUACCCUGGUAGUCCACGCCGUAAACGAUGAGUGCUAAGUGUUAGGGGGUUUCCGCCCCUUAGUGCUGCAGCUAACGCAUUAAGCACUCCGCCUGGGGAGUACGACCGCAAGGUUGAAACUCAAAGGAAUUGACGGGGACCCGCACAAGCGGUGGAGCAUGU